UGGGGAAUAUUGGACAAUGGGCGCAAGCCUGAUCCAGCCAUGCCGCGUGAGUGAUGAAGGCCUUAGGGUUGUAAAGCUCUUUUAGCAGGGAAGAUAAUGACGGUACCUGCAGAAAAAGCCCCGGCUAACUUCGUGCCAGCAGCCGCGGUAAUACGACGGGGGCUAGCGUUGCUCGGAAUUACUGGGCGUAAAGCGCACGUAGGCGGACUCUUAAGUCGGUGGUGAAAUCCUGGAGCUCAACUCCAGAACUGCCUUCGAUACUGGGAGUCUUGAGUUCGGGAGAGGUGAGUGGAACUGCGAGUGUAGAGGUGAAAUUCGUAGAUAUUCGCAAGAACACCAGUGGCGAAGGCGGCUCACUGGCCCGAUACUGACGCUGAGGUGCGAAAGCGUGGGGAGCAAACA
rnacentral:rRNA from 1 species